GCCUUACAGUUCAGAUUUUUAUUAAAUUUUACACAUUUUUUGCUUGCAAUACUCGAAAUUUUUCAAAAUUCGAAAAUACGCCGUAUAUUUUGGUCAGAGGGCAAACCUCUGCGUUGCGUCACCAUGUUUAAAUUUUCCAUCGAGCCUUAGAUUGCGCUGCUUUGCCGACAAAUGCAAAAGGAAGAUGGAACCCAAGAAGUUCCAGCUGGACCGCGGACCCUACCUCUCCCAGCUGGACUACCAAUCUCGCCUUCAGUUCCAAGCACCAUCUUGGAGGUUACCCCUCACCAGCAUUAUAUGCACCAGUGGACCCUCAUCCAACCAGCCCGAGGUUCUCCUUGAACUUAUUCGUGCUGGGAUGAGGGUGGUCCGACUGGACAUGUCCCAAGGCAGCCACAAUUGCCACUGCCAGGCAAUCCAGGCGGCUCGUAAGGCCAUCUCCAUUUAUGUGAAGGAAACGGGUCUUCCCAGGAGCUUGGCCAUCGCCCUUGACACCAAGGGCCCGGAAAUCCAUCCACAAGGCAUACCGGAUGAUACACCUGCCGUAAGCGAGCAAGACAAGCUGGACCUCGAGUUUGGCGUGGAUCUCAAGGUAGACAUGAUCUUUGCGUCGCUCAUUCGCGAUGCCAGAGCUCCAAGGGAAAUUCGCCAAGCACUGGGUCCAUCAAGUGAGCACAUAGGGAUCAUUUCCAAAAUCGAGAGCCGAGAGGGUCUGGCGAACAUAGAUGAGAUAAUCCGCGAAUCCGAUGGCAUAAUGGUGGCCCUUGGCAAUUUGGGCAGCAAAAUACCAUUGGAGGCUGUGCCGCUGGCGCAGAAAUCGAUCGUGGCCAAGUGCAACAAAGUGGGGAAACCUGUGAUCUGUGCCAACCAACUGAUGAGUUCGAUGAUAACCAAGCUACGUCCCACUCGCGCCGAGUCCUCUGAUGUGGCAAACGCGAUCUUUGAUGGUUGUGAUGCCCUCGUGUUUUCCGAUGAAACGGCCAAGGGUAAGUACCCGGUGCAAUGUGUGCAGUGCAUGGCCAGAAUCUGCCAGAAAGUCGAGUCGAUUUUAUGGUAUGAGAGCCUUCAGAACAACCUCAGAAGAGAAGUCCGGAUGAAGGCUGCCAAUCACAUCUCGGCGAUAACCACGGCAAUUGCAGAGGCGGCUACGGUGGGUCAGGCUCAGGCCAUAGUGGUGGCCAGUCCGUGCUCCAUUGUGCCCCAGAUGAUCAGUCAUAUGAGGCCGCCGUGUCCCAUUGUGAUGCUCACCGGCUGCCAACAUAGGGCCGCUCAAUCCUCGCUCUCUCGGGGCGUUUUCCCACUCCUCGUCAGGGAAAUGGUUUACGGCAGCCUAAACUACUGUCGCAUCAUGCAAUCGGGCCUAAAGAUGCUGGCCAAGAUGGACAUCCUGGAGGCAGGCCAAAAGGGAACGGUGGUGCUGGUCAACGCCAUGUCGGCAGACAUGCUCACCUUCCGGCUGUUCACUUUUGUACAGCCAACUGAGGCAGAGCGAGAGGAAGAACGCUGUCGAAAAUUGGCCAGAAAGCAGCGUUGCAAGGAAAUGAAAAUGGCUUUAAGUAAAUCCUGUUCAGAUCUAAAAAGCAGUAAGUCUGAAAUAUCUAUGAAGCCCAAAGAAAAGGGAGAAUGUUUAACGCACGAAGAAGCCUCGAAAUUUGCACAGCUGGAAAAGCAGAGUGAGCAGAAGCGAAACGAAGAAGGGAAUAAUAUCUGUUCAACAAAAGAAUUUUCCAAAAAGGACAACGACACCUUGAAAUGCUUAAAGCUGAAGAAUGAAAAUCAAGCUCAAGCGGAAUCCGAUAUGAAAUCGAUGGAUGAACUCAAAAAAGCGGAAGAAAUGGCUUCAAGUAAAGCGUGUUCAAAUCUAAAGAGCAGUAAGCCUGAAAGAUCUAUAAAGCCCAAAGAAAAGAAAGAAUGUCCUAUUGUAGAAAGAGCGUCGAAAUGUUUAAGGCUGACAAAACAGAGUAAGCUGAAAAAUUGCGAGGAUUUGGCUAUAACCAAAGAAAAGGAAUAUAUCUGUUCAACUAAAGAAGGUCCAAAAAAUAACAACUUGACCGUAAAAUCUUUCCAAAUGAAGACAGAAACACAAGCUCAAUUCGAAGCUGAGAUGAAUCGAAGGGAAGAACCCAAAAAAGCGGAAGAUUGUCGCAAAAAAAGUAAUGAGGUUAGGGAUAGUGUUGUGCCUAAGAAAGCGGGCGAUUAUGCCUCGAAGUGCAAUAAUCGGAAAAAGGAAAGUCUGAAGAAGGAUAAGUGCAGAGUAAUUAAAAUUCCAAGGAAAUCCCAAGAAAAGGAUAAUUAUAGCCAAAAGAAAGGAAUUCCUAGGGAAUACAGUAAAACAAUCAAUCUAGAAAAGGACCAACUUUUACACGCAGAAUCUGCAAAGAAACACUCUGAUGAGUUGGAAAAGUCCUGGGAUAUAAAACUGGAAAACUGCAAGACGAUAAAACUUGAAAACUGCAUGGCAGUGAAACUCGAAAACUGCAAAACAACAAAUCUUGAAAACUGCAAAGCGAUCAAGCUCGAAAACUGCAAACAGCCGAGCAGACGAAGGAAAACCACAGAUCGUACUAAAAAAGUGUGAAGGUGUAUGAUGCAGGUCUGGAAACCUCUAUAAAAACCAUUAAACUAACCGGAUUCAAUUCAGUUUGCGAACGUUAGCUGACCGAGAAGUAUUCAACGGUUUCCAUAAGAUGUCGUACAAGGUUGAAG